CAGACUUUUAAGUGCUGUCAUAUAUCACUGAACUCUUUCUUUGACUGAGGAAUUCACGCUCCUUUGGAUUAACUGUGAUGUGGUUCAUGAUAUAGUACAUGUCAUCUGAUAUCCACUACACACUCAGGGCACAGAGAGGAAGGGAGAGGCGUGCUAAGACUAUCAAAAAGAGCGAUGUCUGUAAGACCUUGGAGGAGUGGGCUGCAGCAUCUGGUUUAGUUGCCGACUUCUGAAGAAUUUCAUCAGUAAUAAAGUUUCAC
ensembl:lncRNA